rnacentral:rRNA from 1 species
UUCCAGACUCCUACGGGAGGCAGCAGUGGGGAAUAUUGCACAAUGGGGGAAACCCUGAUGCAGCGACGCCGCGUGAGCGAUGAAGUAUUUCGGUAUGUAAAGCUCUAUCAGCAGGGAAGAAAAUGACGGUACCUGACUAAGAAGCCCCGGCUAACUACGUGCCAGCAGCCGCGGUAAUACGUAGGGGGCAAGCGUUAUCCGGAUUUACUGGGUGUAAAGGGAGCGUAGACGGCUGUGCAAGCCAGAUGUGAAAGCCCGGGGCUCAACCCCGGGACUGCAUUUGGAACUGUGUGGCUGGAGUGUCGGAGAGGCAGGCGGAAUUCCUAGUGUAGCGGUGAAAUGCGUAGAUAUUAGGAGGAACACCAGUGGCGAAGGCGGCCUGCUGGACGAUGACUGACGUUGAGGCUCGAAAGCGUGGGGAGCAAACAGGAUUAGAUACCCUCGUAC